CGGAAAAGGCCUGAGGCACUUGGAAGAGGGGCGGUCCCUACCUGGCUUCGCUGUUCCAUUCUUUGGUAUGGUUAGACGCCUCCCAGCCUUCUCCUGAUAGAGGAAGGAGGGUCGCUGGAACUGAGCAUAAAAAGGAACGCAUUGAAGGGUGUAUACCACAUUUAUCUUGCAUACCCUGUACCAAAUCAAGCAACUGAGGUCUAGGAUGUGGGCAACAUUCCCAAGAAUGCAGCGAGUUCACAGACAUGACUCAAGGAUAGGCACUGCACCGCUGGCAUAACCGAGACUCCAUGGGGGAGGCAAGGCUGCUACAACCACUUAGACUGGGAGCCUCUAAAAGGCAAACACCAUGCCUACACACAGAGGCUGAACAAGAGGUUGAAGGCAUGAGACAUCUGCAGAACUGUGUCA